GUGCUCACUUCGGCAGCACAUAUACUCAAAUUAGAAUGGUACAAAGAAGAUUAGCCUGGCCCCUGUGCAAGGAUGACAUGCAAAUUCGUAACAUGUUCCGUAUUAAA